GAUGAACGCUAGCGGCAGGCUUAACACAUGCAAGUCGAGGGGUAUUGGUUUUCGGACCAAGAGACCGGCGCACGGGUGCGUAACGCGUAUGCAAUCUACCUUUUGCAGAGGGAUAGCCCCAGAGAAAUUUGGAUUAAUACCUCAUAGCAUUGCGAGAUGGCAUCAUUUUGCAAUUAAAGUCACAACGGUAUAAGAUGAGCAUGCGUCCCAUUAGUUAGUUGGUAAGGUAACGGCUUACCAAGACAAUGAUGGGUAGGGGUCCUGAGAGGGAGAUCCCCCACACUGGUACUGAGACACGGACCAGACUCCUACGGGAGGCAGCAGUGAGGAAUAUUGGUCAAUGGACGCAAGUCUGAACCAGCCAUGCCGCGUGCAGGAUGACGGUCCUAUGGAUUGUAAACUGCUUUUGUACAGGAAGAAACACUACUUCGUGAAGUAGCUUGACGGUACUGUAAGGAUAAGGAUCGGCUAACUCCGUGCCAG
rnacentral:rRNA from 1 species